rnacentral:tRNA from 1 species
CGGGGUGUAGCUCAGCCUGGUAGAGUGCUGCGUUCGGGACGCAGGAGCCGGAGGUUCGAAUCCUCUCACCCCGACCA